GAUAAACGCUGGCGGCGUGCCUAAUACAUGCAAGUCGAGCGAACGGAAGAAGCGUCUUCGGACGAAUUGGAAGUGAGCGGCGAACGGGUGAGUAACACGUAGGUAACCUGCCCUUGAGAUAGGGAUAACAGUUGGAAACGACUGCUAAUACCGAAUAGGAACAGAUGAGGCAUCUCAUCGGUUUAAAAGGAACUUUCGGGCUUCGCUUGAGGAUGGACCUGCGGCGCAUUAGCUAGUUGGUGGGGUAACGGCCUACCAAGGCGACGAUGCGUAGCCGACCUGAGAGGGUGAUCGGCCACACUGGGACUGAGACACGGCCCAGACUCCUACGGGAGGCAGCAGUAGGGAAUUUUCCACAAUGGACGCAAGUCUGAUGGAGCAACGCCGCGUGUGCGAAGAAGGCCUUCGGGUUGUAAAGCACUGUUGUAAGGGAAGAAUGGAUAGGAGAGGAAAUGCUCUUAUUAUGACGGUACCUUACCAGAAAGCCACGGCUAACUACGUGCCAGCCGCCGCGGUAACAC
rnacentral:rRNA from 1 species